rnacentral:rRNA from 1 species
UACGUAGGGGGCAAGCGUUGUCCGGAUUUAUUGGGCGUAAAGAGCGUGUAGGCGGCCAUACAGGUCAGCUGUGAAAACUCGAGGCUCAACCUCGAGACGUCGGUUGAAACCGUAUGGCUAGAGUCCGGAAGAGGAGAGUGGAAUUCCCGGUGUAGCGGUGAAAUGCGCAGAUAUCGGGAAGAACACCCGUGGCGAAGGCGGCUCUCUGGGACGGUACUGACGCUGAGACGCGAAAGCGUGGGGAGCGAACCGG